UAGCUUUAGUCUUUCUGAAGAAGGUCACUCAGGGCUCUGCAGUGGCACAGCCUCUGGAAUGAUGGGUUUGUUCCAAGUGGGUUGGUGCCACACAGCUCUGGCUCUGCAACGAGCUGCCCAUCCAGGAGUGCCUGUGUCUCCUAGGUGAGGGCUGAACUCCUGCCUGGGCUUUUCAUCACCUUAAAAAUGGGACAAAGAUGCUCUUCACCCACAGGCUUGUGACUCCUGCAUUUUCUGACGGAGUCUGAUAACUCCAGGUAAGGGAUCUUAUGGAGAAAAGUCUAAUUUUUAGCUUUCUUUGGACUGCUAGUUGUUUACUUCUAGUAAGAAGUAGGCAAUUUAGGCUAAGAGUAAGUGCCAAGAUCUUACCCCUGAGGGCUGUUUACCUUGGGAACAGCUGAUCCUGGGAUGUGGUGAAGUUUCUGCCACAUCUUCAGAUCAGAACUGAAUAUGUGACUAACACAUAAAUGCACAUGUGAGUUGAAUGAGGUUACAGAGGAAACUGCAGACUGAAAUUCUGGGGUCUCCACGGUGUGGGAAGCACCAUUUGGGUUGUAAAAAUGUGUCCACUUUGGUCUUAAAGCCGUAAUUCUGCCACCACCAGAGGCACGAGCCCGAGGACGUGGUUCAGGGGUGCCCACAGUGGUGGUGCUGGGUUGGUGGUUGGACUUGAUGGUCUUAAAAGUCGUUUCCAGCCUCAGCAAUUCCGUGGUUCUGUGACCAAUUCUUGCCUUUCAUUGAUGCACAGAGCAUGUGUUAGGCAGAACAAGAGAGUGAGGUGAAGGAAUUGUGCUGGAGAAGGCAGAGAGAAGAAAACUCUGUCUGUGAAUUGCUCUUAUUUUUCUUCCCCUGAUUUUCUGGUGAAAAGCUAGAAUUAGAAAUGUGUUUGUGAUCAGAUAAUUAAUGUGUUGGGGUAAAAAAAAAUCUGUGUUCAGCACUGUCAGUUACAGCUAAAUAAAAACAAAGGAAAUUUUAGCUUAACAAUGAUUUUCCUUAUUUGAAGACUCGUUCUUUGAGUUAAGAAUUUGGAAUGCAGGCUGUGGUUCUGGUCAUGAUUUAUCAUAAUGCAGCAUCCAAUUUUAUUUGGAGUUACAUUUUAGCCUUUUAAAAAGCUUUUGCUAAUAAGAAACGAAGGGUAUAAAAAUCUGAAAGCAAAAGACAAACAACAUCCAGGCCCAAAACGUUUAUCUGUGUAAAGGUUUUAGUGGAGAGGAAUUGUACAGCCCAGCCUUGUUUAGCAGUUUCACAACUGGACUCUUAAUUUGUUUAUUUUUGUCAUAAAUCAUGUUGUUAAAUAAUGCACUUGUGUUCUUCUUAUUUUCUAGAUGUCAUAACAUUCUUUUGAAAUGGGUAAAAAUGCUUAAAUUCUGAUAUUAUUAAUAUGUGUAAGGCACAACUUCUGCAUCUGACUCUAUUCAUCACAUCCCAAAUUAAUCAUCAGGGACAGAACCCAAUAUCUCAUUUCAAGCAAAGGCCAAUAGCUCUUGGGGAAAUUAAAUCAUCUCUCAGAAAUAUUUCAUUUUGAAAAGCUAAUAAUUCAAUGGAAAUGGAUUUUUAGAGGGGAAAACCUGAGUGUGUUACAUAAUCUUUCUGUAGGGGUCUCUGUCUCCUACAUUAACAUUUCUUGUCACAUUUGAAAUCAGAAUUUGUUGAAACAUAGUUUACACUGCUGUUGUGAGUGUCACAGUCCUUUAAUGUUUCUGAAAUGAUAAUAAUAUCAUUUGGGAACUCGGGGGAACAGCACUUAAAUCUGAUUGAGACAGAGCCAAAAUCUGAUUGAGACAGAGACAAACACAAAGGGAGCGACAGACACAGGGCAGGAAAUCCUGGUUUUCACAGUGACAUUUUUAUCUCAUCUUUCCCCUCCCCUGUUCCACUGCAGAAUCGUGUGUCCAACCACUUUUACAAAAUAAUGUGCAAUCUGCUCUUCUGUUCCCCUUCCCACUUGGUGUGACAACUUAAUGGAGAAUGGAAAAUGCAUUAAAAGCCUAUUUAUUUUUAGCUUUCCUGCUCUAGGUAGUAGACAACUCAUGGCUCUGCAGUGAGGGAGAAAAGGAAGGACAUGCACCCUGGGUGAAGGGAGAGGAUGGACUUGGAAGGGGAAAGGCUGGCUUUGGAAUUUUUUUUGUUCCAGUAAGUGUUUAUAACACUUACCACUUUAAAGAUGUAUUGGCCAUUUCAAAAUUAACCUAGAGUAGAUUUGUAUUAUUAUUAUUUAAUUGUAAAGCAGGUGUUCAGAUGUCUCCUUUUGAAAGGAACAGGCUCAGUUCAAUGCUGUUUGAUGGUAUUUUCAGGCUCUGGUAGAGAAGUUUGCAGUAAAGUCCCCCACUUGCCUCAGCAGGAGGAGAGUCAUAAUAUGCUCUAAUAGCUAAAAAAGAGGUUGUUCUGUCAUUUUUCUUUAGUUGGAGUCCUUUUUUCUCCAUGUCUUUAUGCUCCUGGAGGUGCCAGAGGUGUGAUGAUCAGCAGGGCUCACAUCCUUGAUUUGUCUGUGCUCCCUUGGGCUACUCUGCCCUAUAACCCCCCACCUUGAACACCUUCAGAGACCUCAGAAGGAGCUGCAAAAGACACCUGAGGAAAGCAAGUCCUGCCAUCAGCAGGCCUGGCUUUGCUCCCAGGGGAUGUCUCCUGCCAGGGGGAAGUUCUCAGCGCUGCCAGUCGACAUAAAGGAUGAAAAGUUCCUGCCAGGAUGAACUUGGAGCUGAAAUCUGCCCAGUAAACAGUGGCCUGAACUCUGAUGAAUCUUUCUGGAGCAGUCCCAGCCAAGACAUAAUGUAAUCCAUAUGCUUCAUCCAAGUGACAUAUUAAUUAUUGAUUAUGCCUAAUGAAUAUGCUAAUAUGCAGAAUUCAGGAGUCUCUGCUGCCCUGCUGUGCUCUCCAGGCCCUCAUCCAUUUUUUAAGAGGUGCCUGUAGGAGACAGUGCCUGGGCUCGUGCCAGGGCUCCGUAAUGAACACCACACACAGAGUUCAAGGGCUGCUGCUCGUCCUUCAGGAGCGACAUCACAAACCUGUUCUGUCUGCCAGUCGUUCUGGAAACUCUAAAUUAGAUGAUUCACUUUCCCCGCAAAUGGGGUGAGUUAUUAGUGUUUUUCUGUUCGGCUGGGGAUGCAGAAUAAGGUGUGACCUCAUUUUCCAUUUCAAAUGAAGCGGGGAAGGGGGAGAGAAAAAUAAGUGGGAAGAAGUUCAGCCCAAUGGUCUAGUUGAUAACACAGUGAAACUUCAGCACUCCUUCUGUGUACAUUUACAAGGAGAUUACAAAAGGCUGUUAAGCCUUUCUGUCUCCUCCCUGGUUUCAAUCCUCGGGUGAAAUAACCAAUAUGCACAGAGGAAACAAAAAGGUUCUGCUGAUGGGGCCUUGACUGAGGUUUUUGAAUGCAGAGCAAAGGCUGAUGUUUAAAUUGCUUCCCUCUAAAGAGCCCUGGGGUGCUCUGUGCUGCCUGUGGGGGCCUCAGCAGAUGCAUUCAUGAGCCUUUAUGGUUGAAACGAUUAAUACAACAACGCAUAUUAAAGCAGUGACAAUUAAUGUAAUAACAGAGGUGAAAAUGGGAAUAGUUUAGUGAGCCAGGCUUGGAAGAAGUGCUAUUGUAAGCUUUACAAUGCAAGACAGAAUGGUGUCUUGAGAACCUUACCAUGAGCACUUGUGAGCUGAUAAAAUAUCAACCUUGAAGCUAUUAGAUUGCAGAGAAGAAAAAGCCCCUUUCGUUUUUUGAAUGCUGAAUUAUUUAAUUUCAGCAAUUGUUAUUUUUCUGCUGUUUUUCAAGUGUUAGCAGGCUCUCUCCUGUAAAUCAUAAAUUAAGUAAUGCUACAGCUGCAAGCCAAGGCCCCAGAAGAAGUCAAACAGUGCAUAAAGAAAGACUUGACUCCAAAGCCCAGUCUGUGUAUUGAUGGGUAAAGAAGCAUUAUAAAAAGGCAGUGAUGGUGAGUCACGUGGACAAUCAGUUUUUCUCAGUCAAAAUUCUGUUUCAAAAUUCUUUGGAGAGUUUGGGAAAGUCCUUUCUUUGAUGGGGGUUAAUUUAGGGGAAGGUUAAGUUCAUCCGUGAGGAAUUGGGAUGGGACCACAACUUUUCAGGGUGAGUUAGGAGUGUGGAUUCAAGGUUAGUGAGAUCUUUAUGUGUCAGUACUGGAAACUUCCAGCAGUAAUAGGAACUGGAAGCUGCAGCCCUAAAACCAGAGACUCUUUUUUGCCUCCUUCCUCCUGGUGCAUCUGGAAGGAACGUUCUGGCUGUGGGUUCUCCCACCAUGGAGUCCAGAAUUCCAGAGCUCUUGAACCACAGACUCUUCUCAUGUCAUUUUUCUCUGAGAAAAAGGAAGGAUUUAUGGACAGGUUCUCUGGGAUCUCUGACCCAUGUGAGAACCUUGAUCCAAUUCACUGAUCCUUAGAGGAAUGUCUUGUGUAGAGUGAGCUUAAAUAAUAAGACAUCCACUUUCAACCCAUCUUUGUGUAACAGGUGUGUGUGUGUUCUAAGUUUUAAUUUUAGUGCAAACCAAAGCACUACUAUAACUAAUAUAUUUAUUUUAUAUAUAUAAAAUACUUAUUUUAUAUAUAUAAUUAAAUAUCUAUUAUUAAAAAUACAUAUAAAUAUAAUAUCAAUAAUAUAACUAAUACAAACUUGAAUAAAGAUUUAUCCCCCAAAGCCUGGAAAUGCAGCUGACCACCAUCUGUUAGAGAUCUCUACAGUUUGAAAAAAACUAUGUAAAAAUAAUCUGAAGAUCACCAUUUUUUUCCUAACAGAGCAGCAGAUAAGAUUCCUCUUUCAGCCAGGGCAAAACAUUUAUUGAUGCAGCAGUUGUGCCAAAAGAGUGAUGAGGUGAAUGAGUUUAAACUGGUCUAAGGUCUCCUAAAACAGCAGAAUAAAUGGUUGUGUAACACUAGGUUCUUUUCUUAUGUUCUUUUCCAGCAAAAUAUCUAAAUAUACUCAUAGAAUCCCAGAAUGGUUUGGGUUGGAAGGGACCUUAGAUAUGGUUUCAUUCCACCCCCUGUCGUGCUCCCCAGGGAAGGUCUCAGGGCACAGGAGAACAUAUUCCUGCCAAAACCAAGGUACCAGACAUGACACACCUCCCAUGAUAUUCCACAGCACAUGGAUAUCUUCGAAGGAAAAGUGCUUUUUCUUGGGGUUUUGUGCCAAGAUGGUCCCUGUGAGUGGUUUCGCAGAGGAUGCAGAGCACCUUGGCUCUUUGCUGGCUGCAGAUAUUCCUCUGAAAGAACGUGCAGGUUUGUUCUUAGAGGUUGCCAGUGGAAAAAAAAGGAUUGUUCCUGCUUCUGGAGCUGGAGACCUUCAAACCAACUGUCCUGAAAGGCUGGGGUAAAAUGCUGAUUGUUGUUAUCUCUGCUGAUCACAGAGGCAUUUAAUUCACCCAACAGCCAGCUGAUGAAUUAACACUCUUUACCCUCAGAUAUUUCCUUUUGUAUUCUUUUUCUUUGAAGUGGGAUAUGUAAAAUGAAUUGCCAAAACCUGCCAGCCUGAGCGGAAUCAGUACAAAAGGUGCUACACAGAACCUUCAGCCUCAAAGGUAAACAGGAGCAAACUCUGCAUUCUUGUGGUUGCUCUUGGGGGUCAAAGCAAUAAAUACUCUGUUUUCCCUGCUUGAAGUUUAUCUUUUCUGUAGGAAUGUGAUUUUGCUUUCGAAAAAAGCUUUAAUUCUUCUUCCUUGUGAAAACAAAUUUCAUCACCAACCCAUAAAUAAUCACAGGGGAAAAAAAAUAAUAGCAGCCUAAUUUACAUCUAACCUUUCUUUUUAAUGAUUAAUGGGUACUAUUUAUGUAAACUGUUUCUACAUUCCGGCGUGAAAUGAAAUUUAAAUUGCAAAUUUUACAGUGGUGUAUUUUAACUGGUGACCCUUUCCCCAGUCACAAAUUAAAAAAAAAAACCCAAUUACAUUUGUAAUAAAGAUGCUAAUGCAUUUCUUGGUUUUAGGGCACGUAAAGUUCUUACUGCCUGCAACUUUUAUUUUCCCCGCCGACGAGCCAAUAAAAAAAUGUAUUUUCCAAAGAGCUCCAAGAUAUGUGGGUGUGGUGGAUGAAGAGGAAUUCUCAGCACUUCCACUUUGCAGCAGCAUUCAUGGGCAAGGAAACCUGUGGUGUCUCUCACUGCCCACAGCCCCGGGAUGGAAAGAAGGUUUUCAACACCUUCAAGGCACCAAACCUUCUCACCGAGAAGCCCAAGGGCUCCUCAGCAGCUGUGGUGGCUCAGUCCCUCAAUGCUGGUGUGGAAGAUGCUCUUCUCUGCUUUCUGCAGAGCUCCAAGUGUAGCUCUUGGCUUGGAUCCCCUUCAUCCAGGGCUGCCAGAGAUGCAAGGAGAGGAGCUCCCAGCUGGAACACCCCGCAGGUCCCUGGAGACUCUCUCCAAGUUAUUUGUGUCCCACAGAGCUUUUGAUUUAGGGUCUUGGAGGCAAUUCCAGCCUAUUAAACAGUGAUUUCUUUCUUUUGCUUCUAAUGGCACUCAGGACCCUCUUUGGGGGUAAAAAAGGAGAAGGUGUUUUGGUAACUCGUUGUUGCUUCAUAUGACCUCAAGGAGGACCCAGAAGGUGGAGAGGAAGGACUGGAGUGUUUUCCUGUGUCUCAUCACAUCCAGGGCUGUGUUCAGCUGAGACUUUUAAAGAAGUAAAAUUAUGCUGGAGAUAAAGCUUGUCUUGUGGGCAUUGUACUUCAAAAAAUCUUCAAAGUAUCUGAAACAAAGAUGAAAACAUUAACAUGAAAAACAUCCAAACAACAGUAAUGCGACAUGUGAUAUUUAAAAAGCCAAAUCAAAUGCCAGCUGCAUCAUUCCAGGCUCCUGAAGAACACCUGCAGCAGGGAAAGAAGCUGGACAGGAAGAGUUUGGAAGGCAUUUUGGUUCUGUUAAUUAACUCAUCAGUUAAGAACCCCGAGGAGGGGUGUGGGUUGUUGAAGUCCUCGGGGAGUGGCAGAGUUUGCUGUCCCCUUGUCAUUUCUGGGCUGGUCUCAUUUGUGCUCAGCCUUUAUCAGCAGGGCAGAUGGAAAUCAGAGCUUGCAGGAGCUGUAUUAUUAUUAUUGUUUUGUUUUCCAGCAGACAUAAAACCUGACAGUUCCCUGACAUCCCUGGCAAUUGAGGGCACAGACAUUUCGGGUUGCAACGUUUCUCUGCACAAAAGCUUAAUAGACUUGACGUGAUUUUCCAUCUCUCCUUGUUUGAGAGGUGCAGGGGAGCCAGAGUGAGAUGUUAACUUCCACCAAGAAAAUCAGAAUCUGCCACUUGCUUUUUGAUCUGCUGCAUCACAUCCUCAAUUUCUAUCAACUGUCUUCGGUUGUGCUGAAAUAUGAUUGAACAUUCAUCUUGUUCCGUGGCUCUGGUGUGCAUAUAGCACAAGUGACUACAAAUUGAGAGCUUAAUACCACCUGUUACUUUUAUUUGCUAAAAAGGUACCAGUUUAUGCUGGUUUUCUUCAUAGGAGAAUAAAACUGGAGUUAAGCAUUGCUUUGGCUGAACAAAAUUCAAUAUAUUCAGGCUUUGAAUAGCCUAUUUUUUCUCUUUUUCUGUCCUUAAUUUUGUUUCUGUUUCAUUCUCAGCCUGCAGUAAAGUAACAUCUUCAGCUCAUCGUGGGUAAAAGGUGAUCCAGGUGUUUGGGGUGUGGUAAUUCCACUGCUAAUCCCAGCAAAGGCUUGGAAAAGGGGAGGGAGUAGUGAUUCACUGACCCCUCAGCAUUCCCCAGUUUUCCCUUUUCCUCCUUGUGGUGCCUGGGUGAAUUUUUUACUGGUUUUAGUGCAGAAAUUCCCAGUGAGGUGGGUGUCACUUGUUAAAAGGAUUCACUGUCAUGAGCAUUCUUGCAGCUUCUCUUAUUUUGGCAGUUUUUAAAAUGGACUUUUUUAAAAAGCACAGUGGUUUCCCACUGACAGGUUUAAUCACAUAGGGCUUUUUUUUUUUUUUUUUUUCAUUUUUCUAUUGUGGGUAAAUAUAUCUCUUGUGAACAACCACUGCAAAGCUGUGUGGCUACAAUUAGGGGGCAGGGUUUGGGCUUCAGGAGCCUUCCAGCCAGCAUUUAGUGAGCUGCACAAAGGGGUUUCAAAAGGAACUUGAUUUUUGAGGAUCAGCUUGUCCUGGUGAACCUCAGAGAAACACUCAGUGCACUGACAAAAUUCAGCUUUGCUGGAGCAAGGAAAAAAGCCCUUAGAGGGGGAUGAGGAAGCUGGAAAUGGGAACUGGAAAUGGAAUUCAGUGAGGAUUCAGGUGGAGGAAAAAAGGGUUGCUGAGACUGGGAGGUGGAAGUAUUUGACAUCCCUGCUUUCUUCCCAGGCAGCCUUUCAGUUCUACAUCUACUUGACCCUCAGGGCUCACAGCUUUGUGCCCUCCAGCCCAGGAAGGACCCAGAAAAAAAAUGUUAAAGAAAAAAUAGGGUUAGAAUCUGUGGAGGGAGAGUGAGAAAAACCAGGGAAGUUUGGUGGGAAAGUCUGGAGUUUUCCAUUCCGGCAGGUGGAAGGUUCCUGGGGAGCUCAUCCCGUCAUAGAUUUACUUAAACAUCCUGUUUUUUUCCCAGCAGGAACUGGGAUGGAUGGAUGGAUGGAUGGAUGGAUGGAUGGAUGGAUGGAUGGAUGGAUGGAUGGAUGGAUGGACAGCUCCAAGACAGAAGGGCUGGGGCUGCCAAUCCACAUUUCAUCACCGAAAGGAGCUGAACUCGUGAGUUCCAAGCUGUGCACUCAAAAUAAGGUGGUUGGUACAACCCCCAAAUUCCUGGUGGGCAGUAAUUUUCCUGACAUCCCCAAGAAUGAGUUUUAGCAGGCCUGGCUGCUGUACUUGUUUUAAGGGAAGGAAAGAGCCUGAACCAGCCUGAACCAGCACCAGCUUGCACUGGAAAACUCAAGGCUGGGAUGAAGAAAAGUGCAUUUUUCAGAGCCUGAACUAACUGGGGGACAUGAGGUCAUAGGACACACCUUUACAAGGAACUAAAACACAGUUAACAAGGACUUACCUCCUUUGUUUUCCAGAAACACCAGAUUAAUUCAGGCUCUUGUUUCAGCUCAGAGGCUGAAGAAUUUCCUGGAUAUCCACAAUGCCCAGCGAGAGCUGGAGAUUCUUGGUGUUUAUAUGGAUUCACGGCUUCCCUGUUGAUUGAAUGGGUGUAAUCAUCAUUUUCCAAUAUGCAGAAAUUAAGGCCAAAUGCAGCCUGGUGCCUCCACUCUGAGCUAAUUGAUGCUGGCUUUAUGGAUUGUGUUUUCUUUGCUGAGGACCUUCUUGCUGAGCGAAUUUGACAAAUGAAAACACUUGCUGGGAUUUGAUUUCUCUGGCAAUUUUCUCUGUUUUCUUCCACUAGCAAUAUCAUAUUUUUGUUUGUGAAAGGGAGGGUUAUUGUUCAUCCUAGUUAUUUGCCAAAGUAAAAAUAACUGAUAUUGAGGACACAUUAAAAUGGAAGCAGGUGGAAAAGAGCGGCUCCUAAAAAACCAAAUAAAAACAUGAUUAGAGACAAUUUUACAGACUUCUUGGUGGAAAACUACUUCAAGAAGAAAACUACUGUUCCAGAAGACAAAUGGUGAUACAACUUGCUGGGAUAUUUGGCUUUUCUUAUAUUGCUGGACAUCUUCUAGAGAUAAAACACACUUUUAAGAAUUUAAAAAUUCCAUUUAUUCGUGUUUCUCUGGUAAGUACAAAACCCAGGUUGGGCUGGAAAUGCAGAGCAGAAGGCCCAGGAAUACCUGGGUUUAUUAGGAAGAAUAGGAUUAGGAAGAUUAGGUAUUAGGAAUACCUGGGUUUAUUAGGAAGAUUAAGAGAUGGGAUAUAUUGGAAAAGCUGGAGCUUUCCAAGUUCCCUCUCCAACCCUGUUUUCCUACCAGUCUUUAGGAAACACGAUUCCCAGUGUGGCCCUUGGGAGAUGGGUGAGCAGGACUAACAGGAGCUGGACUUAAUCUGUCCAGGGAUACUUUUGUAAAGGGAAAUAGCUCUGCCUUGGAGCUGAAGGUUUGAAUCUGAGACAUCAUUGUUCUGGCCUCACUGCCUGGGAGGGAAUGCAACCAGAAACAUUUAUUCCUUCUGGAAAAAAAUAGACUCAUCCAACAGAAUUGUACAUGGAAUUGCCCACAAUAAAAGGAUAAACUGCAGUCAUUGCUUUUACAAGAUGACCUUCACUACUUGCAUUAAUCAUUCGUCUUGGUGUGGCCCACAAAUAUGAGUCAUAAAGGAGCUUUCAUUCAUCCAAAUGGCAUUUAGGCAUCAAUGAAACUGAGGGUGUGCCUACAACAUCCAUUGAAACAUAGAAUUCCGGAAUGAUUUGGAUUGGAAGGACCUUAAAGCCCACCCAGUUCUACCCCCUGUCAUGGGCAGGGACACCUUCCACUAGCCCAGGUUGCUCCAAGCCCCGUCCAACCUGGCCUUGGACGCUUCUUGAACAUUGUCUGGUGUUCCUAAAUAAUCAUGGAUAUCUAAACCAACUUGGUUUAUAAUUAGCCAGCCCAGACCUCACCACAGACUCCAAAAGCUUCCCAAAAACUUGGACGAUCCCCAUCCAGGUGCCUCUGCUCCAAGAUGUCCCUUGCUUGGGUUUUCCAGCCCAGGGCUGCAGACACAGCUCUGUUGCACCCUUGUGCCUCCCCUCUUCCAAUAUCCAUCCCUCCCAUAAUCCAGGUGUUCUGGAGAACCUGUCCCAGGUGGGAGGGCACAGAACAACUCCCUUCUCCUCUAUCCUGCAUUCCAAGGGCUACUUUUCCAGAGCCAGGACAAGGUGUCUCAGUCUAAUGAGACUGAAGUGUUUGCUAAGGAGGAUGAGUUAUGAGGAAGACUAAGCUCCUCCCUCCAAGCAAUUGUAAAUACGAAAUAUAGAAGCUCUGGAGAGCUUGGAACACCACCAGGCCCCCACUAUUUUCCCUCUUACCUCCUGGGUGAUCCCUGGGGAAGCUGAGGCUCUGAUCCCUAAAAAAAGGGCAGCAGGAUUCCUGGGAUACCUGUUUCACUCGGGAAUUUAUCCUUGCUUUCCAGGCUGCAGUCUUUCUUGCAGGUCGUCAUGGCCACGUUGAUCCGCUCCCCUUUCUGCAUGGAGAAGGGAAAAGUGGGAAUGUGUUAUCCCAAAUCCCUCCCAGACAUGUAAGGGGGAAAGGAGAAGUUGGGAAGCUCACAGGGGUGGUGUGGAUUCCCUUGUAGACCUCUCCAAAGAAUCCUUCCCCCAGGAUCCUGUCCAGCAUCACGUCCUCCCGGGAGACCAUCCCAGUGUAGUCUCCUCUGCCUGGGCCAUGAAAAGCAGGAUUGAGAGGUGGUCUGGCCUUGCUGGAAUCUCCAGGGAGGAGUUUGUACAACUCCUGCCUUUCCAGGAAUGCACAAAUCAACAGAUCGAUUUUAGGUUUUAAGGUUUUGGAGAGAGAAAGAAGCCAAACAGAAACAAAGCUUUUCAGCCUGGCACGUGGCUCGGUGCCACCCACGGAAAUGAACUGGAAAUAAUCCCCUUUCUCUGAAAGUCUUGCUAGAAAGAUGCUUUCAAAUGCUCCUCACUGGGUAGGAAAACAGGAUUUAAAGGGAGAUAAAUGGAAGACACGUGUUUAUACAAAAAGCAAAUAACUUGGGAACUGGGAUACCCACACUGGGAUACCCACACCACCCUAGAGGGAACUACUGGGACAGUGGUUUUGUUCUUUUUCUGAAGCUGAAGAAAGUGUCAAGAUGAUCAUUUCACUGGUGUGAAAAGCUAAAAAAUUUCUUUCUAAUCUUAGAUUUUAAUAAUGCAACGAAGAAAUAACUUUAAUAACAUUCUCAGAUACUGGCUCAGACUCUGAAACAUGAUUUAAGCUGUGCUACAGUGCAAGGGGGCAUCUUUAAUUGUCACUCUCUAACGCUCUGUUAAGAAAAGUGUGAUUGAUGGCCUUUUAAUGUUCCUUAAUUUUUUUUCUUGAAAAGAAAAUAGAUUUAUUGGCAUACACUGGGGCCCAAGUUUUUCCAUUAAGUAUGUCUGGAGCUACUUGGAAAUUUCAGAUGUAGUCAGAGCUGGUUUACAUUCCCUUUUAUUUAACCUCAUUAAGCAACCUUAAAGCCCUGGGACCUGACCUGGUAUUGCUGAAUUAAGAUUAUCUCUUGAAUUCCUUUAGUAAACCACACAUUAACCAAUCUAUAGAAAAAGUAGCAUUUUGUUACAGGCAAUUGAAAGAUGAAGUAAUUCAUAUUUCUGCAUUUCAUGCUGUUUGAAAGUCCAUUCAAAUAUUAUUGCCAGUGUUUGUACCUUCUCUGUGUUCUAAAGCAAAUUGAGAAAAAAGUCUAAUUAAAGAAAAAAAAAGCUGUUGGAGAUAAGAAAGAGGAAAGAAAGGACAACAAUUAUUGUGUACUGGUAAUAAAAGCAUAAUGUGUAAAUCACAGGAGAGUUUUCUCUCUUCCUGAACAAUUUUUGGAAAUGUUUGUAUUCUUGGAAGUUUUUAAUUUGUAUCUUUGAACCUGUAGCCACACAAUCAGAUUAAUUUUCUUGCAGUAACCAGGCAUUCUAAAAUGGUUUUGAAUACAUCAGAGAACAAACUGGCAGAUUGGAGCCUUUACAUCAAUUCUGGCUGGCAUUUUUUAAGAAGCCAGAGGGUAGGUGGUGUAUUUUUCCACAGAGCUGCUGGGAGUUUAGUUUUCCACAUUAAAUUCGCUAAAGGGACACGUUUUGCUGCUGUUACUCUGAAGAAACAGAGCUGAGGAUGUUUUGCCCAGAGAACAAUCUAAGGCUGGAUUAGAGAAGGCCCUGGGGGUGCUGGUGGGGCAGAGGCUGGACAUGGCCCAGCCCAGACCCCCCGUGCCCUGGGCUGAUCCCCCAGUGUGGGCAGCAGGGCAGGGGGGGAUUCUGCCCCUCUGCCCCUCAGCUGAGACCCCCCUGCAGAGCUGCUCCAGCCCUGGGGAACAGCACAGCAAGGACAUGGAGCUGCUGGAGAGGGUCCAGGGGAGGCACCAAGAUGAGCAGAGGGUGGAGCAGCUCUGCUGGGAGGGAAGGGGAGAGAGUUGGGAUUGUUCAGCCCGGAGAGGAGAAGCUUUGGGGUGACCUGACUGUGGCCUUGCAGGGCCUGAAGGAGCUACAGGAAAGAUGGAGAAGGACUAUGGACAAGGGAUGGAGGGACAGGACACAGGGAAUGGCUUCCCACUGCCAGAGGGCAAGGAUAGAUGGGAUAUUGGGAAGGGAUUCUUCCCUGGGAGGGUGGGGAGGCCCUGGCCCAGGUUGCCCAGAGAAGCUGUGGCUGCCCCUGGAUCCCUGGAAGUGUCCAAGGCCAGGUUGGACGGGGCUUGGAGCACCCUGGGCUGGUGGAAGGUGUCCCUGCCCAUGGCAGGGGGUGGGACUUUGGGUCCCUUCCCACCCAAACCAUCCUGGGAUUCUUCUUUUGCUCCUAUCACUUAUAAUGCAAUAAAUUAUUGGCGAAGUGA